rnacentral:rRNA from 1 species
UACAGAGGGGGCAAGCGUUGUUCGGAAUUACUGGGCGUAAAGGGCGCGUAGGCGGCCCGCUAAGUCGAACGUGAAAUCCCCGAGCUCAACUCGGGAACUGCGUCCGAUACUGGUGGGCUUGAAUCCGGGAGAGGGAUGCGGAAUUCCAGGUGUAGCGGUGAAAUGCGUAGAUAUCUGGAGGAAUACCGGUGGCGAAGGCGGCAUCCUGGACCGGCAUUGACGCUGAGGAGCGAAAGCCAGGGGAGCAAAGCGGG